rnacentral:lncRNA from 1 species
UAGCCACCCCGAUUCCAGUGCUCUCCCUCCUGUUCGCAUCGCCACCAAUUUUCCCUCUACCUCUGCCUUUCCGACCUCACAUGCCCUUCAUGGUCUGGCAAAAGAUAACUUCUACAAAAUUCUCUCACCUCGGUGUCAUGCAAAGAUCGUCGCAGAUAUGCGCCCCACAGAAAAGCGUCACACUGCAGUGCUCAAAUUGCGUCGGAGUAGGAGAAGGUACGAGAGGAGGCGGUGCCACGGGAAGGGCAUGCGUCGAGGAAGGAGGAUGAGGCGAGCAUGUAGGACAUGAAGCAGGAGGCGAUGUGCAUGGAGGUUGAACCUGACGGCUUGGGCAUGAAGGAGGCGGCGAUAAAGUUCCAAUACACUCAAGCUGCGAAGGUGCGGUGCAGUUCCAGGUGGAGCACCUACUCGACCCAAUCCUAGUGAGAGGCACAAACCGUCGUCGUAUCCACCUUGCCGACAUGAGGCGGGGGGCGGUGGCAAACGUCGUCGUAUCCACCUCGCUUACAUGAGACAAGAGUGGCUCUUUGUGGAUAUUGAUGAUGACAACGAGGAAGAGCAGUCAGAAUCCCGGACAGCCUCCAAUGACAAGGAGGACGGUUCGUCCGUUACCGAGGUCAUCUACAUCUUCAACGACGAGUCGAAGUAGGGUAGUUUUCAUCCGAAUGUCCCUUCUUUUAUCUAUGUAUGAUGAACUACGUAGGAUGAAUUUCAAGUUGCAAUGUUAGUAUGAAAAUAGGGAUUUGAAAAUGAGGAUUGUGGUUGUAGAGCGAGAUAAAUGAAAAGUGAUUGGGGAACUAUGAGAGGGUGUGGGGACAAGGAGGUAUUUUUUCUUGCAGCGGCCGUGAAGAUCUAUGCAUCUCAUGGUUGUACCUACGGGAAGAAGUGCCAUUGCGCCUCUUUUUACCGGAAGAAGUGCCACUCGCCUCGUGGUGCAGAUUAGCAUCAUGCGGGGGACAAAUUCCCGGUUUUGACCCGUUUUACCAACCUUUGUCUCUGUUUGUGAUUUUUUUGGACUUGACCCUUUUUCCUAUCGUCGUCGGCAGGCAUACACACCCUACUACCCCACACAAUGACGGUAGGGGCCGUGUCAAUGCGGAUAAUUCCUUUGGGCCAGCGGAGUCAAAUGACCAUACGAUCAUUGUCUAUGGCAGUAGGAUGUGUAUGCCUACCACCACAGCAGGUGGCGGCAGGAAAAAGGGUCAGAUCCAAAAAAAUCACAAUCAGGGUCGGACAUGCAUACGCUGCUCGAGAAAUUCUCCAGCAAUGAUGACGAGGAGUCCGGCGAGCAGCCUCGUGCCUUGCCCUGAAACAGAUUAUCCUCGCCUCGAGGAGGCGUCAUGCAUCACCCUUUAUUGUAUGGAAAAAUUUGAAUUCUAUAAUAACUGCUUGCGAUUCAUAAUGCCUAUCUCAAUGCUUGGUUUUUCUCUUGCUCGUCUUUGUGCUCUACGUCGGCAGGGGCCAAGCCUGAAAGCGCAUAUGCU